CUGUACUGAUUUUUCCAGAGCAACUGAUACCUCUUGGAUUGAGAGAACCGCAACUUUUGCUGGUUCCCGAGACCGUUUUGUUUUCCUUUUGCAGCCGCUCAGUAGUCAAAAGCAAAGCUAAGAAGCAUUCUUUUGGGCCCUCCUGGCCGUUCGUCUCUCGGCUACACCGGCUUCCUCGCGUCAGCUUUGGGCAGUUCUGAGCACUUGAGUGAGUCAGCUUCGUAAGGAGUGUGGAAUGGUGAGGGUGAGAGGGAGUUUAGGGAUUUGAAGAUGGUGCAACUGGUGUGACUAGGGCUCUUCUCUCCCUAGGCACUUGCCAGAUGAGGGAGAGGGAGGUUAGUUAUUAAAGCACUUCUUUGGAUUUACUAGGAGAUUGGUCUUGGCUUUCACUUGCAGACCAUCUUCCACUCUCCUAAGCUCCCAUUCACCCGUGUUUAAAUACCUGCCAUCCAGUAAGUGAACAAUAGAGUAAAUGUAAAGUCGUGUCGUUUCAUUCACCAGAAGCGUACAAAGUAAGGAAAACGUAUACUGAAGAAGGACCAGCUUGAAGACAGCGUCCCCAGCCCUCCAGCAGCCAACCUGAUUACCAUGCUAAGUCACAUAACUACUUUCUAAAGGACAUAAACUACUCUUUCAUAG
rnacentral:lncRNA from 1 species